GUGGCAGUACCCUUUACCCCGGUGUUACUCUGGUGGCGGCGCCUUGCUUGGCGCUGUUUGAGUCUGGGGACGGCUGGUCAGGGGUUUUGUGUCCGGGUAUUCCCGAUGUGGUGGCCGAUGCUCUGUCUUGGUCAUUAUAGGGCGUACUUCGGGCAGAGGUGUCGCGGGGUCGAUGUUAGGGCAGUGGAGGUGGUCGCUUGGUCCAACGGUCCGAUGAAGCUGGUCUGUGGGUCGACCUAUGAGGCGGCAUGAGGCCCGCUCCGGUAUGGUGGGAGUGAUCAGGACAGAUGGGAACGUCUCCUUGGGGGGUUCCGGGAGUGGACUGCUCAUCUACAUGUUUGGUCCCGUCUGUAAAGGGCGCUGGGGGUGAUUUCUGCGAUUGGCAGGGCUCGGCUUCCUGUUCAUGUUACGGUCAUCGGCAAGUGGUGGGGUGUUUUGGUGGACGGACUUACUUCAGGUUUCGCCGCUCGACGGCUGUUGUCGUUGGGUCGGGUAAGUCAGUUGCGGUGUGGCUGAUUCGUCGAUGGAAUCUGUGCAAUUCUUAGAUGUUGCGGGGUUGACAUGCCCUGGCUUUUCCGCAUUCGACUAAGGUAGAUGGAAUGCACAGGGUAAUGGUUGGCUCCUAACACGAUGUAAGGGGUUCCCAGGAUAGUCGGACAAAUUCCGUUCCGAUCGGGGGCGGUGCAGGUUUCCGUCAUUUGCCUGAAGGAUGGUAGGGAGUUCAAGGGGCAUUUAUGCUGGUUUGGGACGGCUAUGGUGCCGCCAGGCUUGGCGUGCCUGCGCCAAUGGUUCAGGGGCUCGAAUGGUAGGAGUCAGGGUGGU